CGUAGGGUGCAAGCGUUAAUCGGAAUUACUGGGCGUAAAGCGUGCGCAGGCGGUUUUAUAAGUCUGAUGUGAAAUCCCCGGGCUCAACCUGGGAACUGCAUUGGAGACUGUAAGGCUAGAGUGUGUCAGAGGGGGUAGAAUUCCACGUGUAGCAGUGAAAUGCGUAGAUAUGUGGAGGAAUACCGAUGGCGAAGGCAGCCCCCUGGGAUAACACUGACGCUCAUGCACGAAAGCGUGGGGAGCAAACAGGAUUAGAUACCCUGGUAGUCCACGCCCUAAACGAUGUCUACUAGUUGUCGGGUCUUAAUUGACUUGGUAACGCAGCUAACGCGUGAAGUAGACCGCCUGGGGAGUACGGUCGCAAGAUUA
rnacentral:rRNA from 1 species